rnacentral:rRNA from 1 species
GAUGAACGCUGGCGGCGUGCCUAAUACAUGCAAGUCGAGCGAACAGACGAGGAGCUUGCUCCUCUGACGUUAGCGGCGGACGGGUGAGUAACACGUGGAUAACCUACCUAUAAGACUGGGAUAACUUCGGGAAACCGGAGCUAAUACCGGAUAAUAUAUUGAACCGCAUGGUUCAAUAGUGAAAGACGGUUUUGCUGUCACUUAUAGAUGGAUCCGCGCCGCAUUAGCUAGUUGGUAAGGUAACGGCUUACCAAGGCAACGAUGCGUAGCCGACCUGAGAGGGUGAUAGGACACACUGGAACUGAGACACGGUCAAGACUCCUACGGGAGGCAGCAGUAGGGAAUCUUCCGCAAUGGGCGAAAGCUUGACGGAGAAACGCCGCGUGAGUGAUGAAGGUCUUCGGAUCGUAAAACUCUGUUAUUAGGGAAGAACAAAUGUGUAAGUAACUAUGCACGUCUUGACGGUACCUAAUCAGAAAGCCACGGCUAACUACGUG